ensembl:lncRNA
AGCAGUAAAUCCAGUGGAAGUUUAGAUGUUUUAUUCCCAGGGUAAGUUUCAGGGGGAAUCCCUGACUCCUGUGUCCACCACCAGCCAGACCUUACUAGACUAGUGGGCAUUACUAGAUGUGGGCAUGAAAAUAACAUGAACUACCCGAUGGACAAGUUUCCCAGACACAUUCUUGUGGUUUGCUACUUGUUUUUAGCAUUUUAGUCACCACUUUAAGUUUCUAAUUACAGGGUUUUGUUUUUAUUUUUAAAAACAAUGUGGUCUUGAUGGAGGUAAUCUCUGUAGUGUACAUUCUCUGCAUUACUCACAAUCUUUUCUUAACAAAUACAGAGUAGUUAUAGUCUGUGUAUCCUGACACUUCAGAGAAUUUAAUUUUAAUGCUGGCAAGAGUUGCAAAGGUGAUUUCUUACUGCAUAUAGUUAAGGAGAAUGCUAAGGAGAUGAAGUAGGGUGCUUGAGGACCCGAGGCUGGUUAUUAUCAGAGUUGAGACCUAGAACAUAUAUAUUUUGAAUCUCGGUUUGUUCUCUUUCUCUAUAUUUACCCAAUUUUUGUUUUGUUUUAUUUUUUGUUUUGAGAUGGAGUUUCACUCUUGUUACCCAGGAUGGAGUGCAAUGGCGCGAUCUCAGCUCACUGCAACCUCCGCCUCCUGGGUUCAAGCAAUUCUCCUGCCUCAGCCUCCCGAGUAGCUGGGACUACAGCUUCACAACUCACCUUGGUGCAUCUCUGUCCCACACGGGAUUCAGAAGUCUAAUCAGGAAUGUAAUUAGGAACAUGAUGCAGAUGGGCAAGGCCUGUCCCUUCCUUCUUCAGCUGCUGUGUGGUGCCAGGUAAAAUACUUAAAUUAGUUUUUCUCAUGUUUUCAAAUUAGCCAAGAAGUUUACUUAUGUAGAGACAGUUCUUAGGCACUCCAUUUUAUAUUUUGAAGACAAAGCUAAAGUUGGCUGCAGCUGUGAAUUGGAACAAGGAAAAACCUGAGAGGCAUUGGUUGAUUGUUCUUAAAACUAAUUUACUGUUUCUUUUCUUGUCUAUUUCCUUGCAGGCCUGUAAUCUAGUAGGAAAGGGCAUAUGCAUUAGCAGAAAAAUGUAUGACACAAAUAAUGCUUUUAAUGUGCAUUGACAACUUUGUCUGCUAUACACUCUAUCAAUACAUUUGACUAAAAUGCCUUAUUUGGCCUUUCCCUUAAGUUUUUCCAGAUCUAGAAUUUGGCGCUAGCCUGGCCAAUCUGGUGAAAUCUGGUCUCUACUAAAAAUACGAAAAUUAGCAGGGUGCGGUGGUGCGUGCCUGUAAUCCCAGCUACUCUGGAAGCUGAGGCAGGAGAAUCGCUUGAACCCAGGAGGUAGAAGUUGCAGUGAGCCAAGAUUGUGCCACUGCACUCCAGCCUGUGCGGCAGAGCAAGACUGUCUCAUUAAAGAAAAAAGAAGAAUUUGGCAAUUAUUUUCAGCAUUUUAAAGAUGCCAUCCCAUUAUCUUCUGGAUUCUGCCAUUUCUUCUGAAAGAUCAGCUACAGUGUAACUGUUGCUCCUUUGAGUGUGAGGUGUCCUCACCCUCAGCUGUUUUGAAGAUUCCCCUGUGUUUUUUAUUUUCAGCAUGUUGUGCCCAUGAGGUUUUCAGCAAGAUGUCACUCUGAUGUAUCUCAGCGUGUAUUUUUUGCCUUCUGAAUUUAUUCUCCUUCAAUCUUAUAGAGCUUCUUAGAUCUGUGGAUUAAUGUUGUAAGCAUUUUGGGAAAAUUUCUAGCCAGUGUCUCUCUGUAAGUAUUGUUGGUGCGCCUUUAUUCCAGAGCCCCUUUUCCGGAAUUCUAAUUCCAUGUCCAUUAGACCUUAUCAGGGUGUCUUGUGUUUUUCAGUCUAUGUGUUCACUUAUUUGUGGUUUCUUUUUCUCCAAAUUCUUUGCGUCUCCAGUUCUGAGGCCUCAGUAGUCCCGGACUCCAGGUUUUGGAGUGAAGCCUCCUGAACACUCUGAGUCUCUGGUUUUGUGUUAAAGUGUUGUUUGGGAAGUAGCAGAUGCUUGAAGGAGAGAAGAAAGGAAUGAUGUUGGACUCCCCUGUGGGGGCUUUUGCCCUGGGAUCAUUGCCCCUCCAGCACUGGCUGACUUGGUUAUUCUCUGUUGUCUUUCAACAGCUUGUUUUGUAUUUUGUGCAGCUUUUGUAGUUAAGAUGUAGGACAAGGUGAUUGGAUUGAUGCAAGUUACUCCAUCUGUGCCAGAAAUGGAAGUUCUGUGUUAAGAAGUUUGAGUUGGAAGUUCCAUUUCUUUUCUUUGGUUUCAUUUUUCCUACUCAGGUAUUACUGAGGCUAGAGUACUGAAAUUAAAAUUUUAAAAACUGGAUUUUCAUUCCAGGACCAAUAGAAAAUUGCUUUCUGAUGAUGAGCCUUCUGGUUUCAAUUUUUCUGUCUGUAAAAUCUCAUCUACACAAUCUCAUCUACAUAAUUUUCAGGGUUAUUACCUUUUUUUAAGAGUAGAAAGAGUUUUUGUUUUUUUCUGAUAAAAUGCUCCCAUUAUUCUUCCUCAUUUUUUCGUAAGCUCCAUGGGGAAUUGAGAAAUGAAUUCUUAAUUAAAAAUCUUACAAUAAGAGCCAGCGGCAGCAGUCAUCCUUACACUGUGUCAUGCCGGUGUUUACCACCUCCCCACCCUCAAAGAACAUGGGAAAGAAGGACGAGCAGAUGCUAACUCAGUGUGAAGCCAUAGUUGGAGUGCAGCGGGUGUUGAAUUUGUAAUGUUUGUUAAGGCCUGAGUCUGCACAGCAUUUGGAGGAGAUUCCAGGUAUGUUUUAAGAGGAAAGAGAUAUGCAUGUGUUUACAGAGGUGACUCUUACCUUUGUGGAACAUCUGCGCCCAUUUCAGAAAACCACAGCGUUAUGAGAGUAGAUACGUGCCUGUUAAUUUGAGCACUGCUAAGUACAUAAAUAGAUGAGCCACUAAUGUACACAGCUUGGUCAUCUCAGUAAGCCAAAAUUGAGUCAACCUUUUUCCAGGUUAACCUAAUCUAAAAAUAACACUUUCAUCUCUUAUUAAUAGGCUGGUUGUUAUCUAAUGUUUUGCUGUGGGUUCGGGGCUCCAGAAUAAAUCAUGCUUUGAUUAUAGGGUGGAUCAAG